UGCAUACGCAACCCUUCUCUUCCCACUAACAAUUUGCAAGAAAAAAAGGUACGCUUCUGUUUACCCUUUUGCUUCCUUCAGUUUGAUUCUUUUUUCCUCUGUCUUUUUCAGUGUGAAUUUUAUUACUCUAUUUUCUCAAUCUCAACUGUCAUCAAAAUCUUGAUUUGGAGGUGUCUCCUCAAUUUUCUCUUCAUUUUUAAGGCUUACUGAAUCCCAGGUUUUAGGCUUCGACGAGAACUAAUUUUUUUUUUUGAGACUGAAAUUAUAGAUCUCGCCAUGUUCUAAUUUUUCUCGAGCUAUUGUGUGAUUCGUGUUUGAUGCUAAUCGUCAUUAUUGAGUCAUGAAUAUGGGUCUUUCUGUUUUCACCUUAGUUUUGCCAGUUUUUGUUAGUUAUGGUAAUUUUCUUGCUUUCUUGGUACUUGGAUAGUUUUUCUUAGACUUUCUUCAUGCAUUUUAGUUUUCGUCUAAAUAGUAAAUAUCUAAUAUAUUCUAGGUAAUAAAACUUAAUCGCAAGUUAAGAAUUUCCUUGCUUACAGUCCUAUAAAUGACAAUCUGUGACUGUCGAAAAAAGCCAAGAAAUAAAUAAAUGGAAAGAAAUGGAGGAGUUACACAAUAUAAAGUAAGACAAAUAAAUAAAGACAUGAUAGAGAAGCAAUUGAAAGAAAGACAUUGAAAGGGAAGUUGGAGAGAUAAGAGGGUAAAAGGGCAGGCCGGUGCACUAAAGCUCCCGCUAUUCGCGGGGUCCGGGGAAGGGCCUGACCACAAGGGUCUAUUGUACGCAGCCUUGCCUUGCAUUUUUGCCAGAGGCUGUUUCCAAGGUUUGAACCCGUGAACUCCUGGUCACCUGGCAGCAGCUUUACCAGUUACUCGAAGGCUCCCCUUCAUAUAAGAGGGUAUAAAGCUAAAUAUGAAAAACCAAGUGAAUGUGCUACAUGUGAGUGGCCUAUCAAAAAGUAAAAACGAAUGAAUGCGCCACAUGUGAGUUAGCCUAUCAGAAAGUCAAAACGAGUGAAUGCGCUAGACAUCUAUCGUUUUUUCAAAUUACUGGUACUGGCUUAGAGUGAGAACCCAAUCCUAUUUUUCAUGACUUAUUGUUUGGUUCAUUUAGUGUGCAAUGCACAUGCAGUAGCAGAGAAGAACAAGUUUAACAUUCUGCGAACUUUGUUUUUUAGGAUAGAAAAGUCGAGUAGUCCAUAUAUGUUCAAAAUUUCCUUAUUUUGCAUAAGCCACUUUAGUAGUUGCAAUAGAGUUAUAGCAGGCUAUGUUGCUCGGACUCUACAAAAUUAUUGUCGCACCUGUAUCAUUUAUUUUUUUAAAAUGCACCAUCUUUGGAGUACCCGACACGAAGAGUCUGAGCAACAUAGAUACCAGGAAGAGGUGUUCCAGCAAAUGCACCAGCAAGAAGAAAGGAAUCUGAUCUCCAUCCAUGAACGUUAGUUUAUGUUGUAUUCCUGCUGCCGCAAUACAAAUCUUAAGUCAUGUGAAUAUCUAAUUGAACUUUCAUGGAGUAUUGAUUUGGAAUGAUCUAAUGCCUCCAAUUCUGAUUCAAGGUAAAGAGUUGUUUGCUACAAAUUAUAAUUCAAUUGAUGGGGUUAGUGUUAGAUGUUAAAAGAUCACUCGGAAAUAAUGCCCUAACUUGAAUGCAGAGAGCCCGUGUUCAAAUAUGAAGUCUUCAUGUAAUUUCACAUUUCAACUAGACUUGCUAAAAAUAUACUAUCAAUUAGGAUACUUGAUAGUAUCUAAGGAAAAGUUCUUCACUCUGGCAGUGGACUCUUUCGCACCACUUUCUUUGAUGGAAGGAAAAGGAAAAUCAUUCAGAGUACUGGAGUUUAAUCAAAGCCAGAGGGCCUCAUUUGUCAAAAUUUUAAUGAGGUUUUUCAAAGUGAGAGUUGCUCAAGGGAGAAACGGAACAUUGUUCACUGUAAUAGGUUUUAAAGAAUCAGAAAGUAUCAAGGUAACCGUCUUUCAUUCUUCCCUCCACAUCUUCAAAGAAGACAAUUUUCGCUUUUAUUUCUUCAUGUUGAUCUGUUUUUCCAAUUGUAUUGGUUUAAUUUGUUCCCCAUUUAUUCUUUGAUUUGUGUACGUUUAAUUAUACAUCGAUAUCAUAAGUUUAGUUACUGGUGGCUUGGAGUCUCUAUGAUUGUGAAUGAGCUGACUUUGCACUGAUGAACUAGGAAAUCUGUUUCUGCAUCAUAUGUCAUCCAACUUUUCACUAUUUUUUCAAGUCCAUUUCUAUUUUGUUUUUCUUUUCCAGUUUCUUAGUAUUUGAGGAAGAAAUCAUACUGUAAGUUUUAUAAUUGACUCCACUUGCUUACUUCUGAUGGCUUGAGAAUGUGCUAAUGAGGAAGCAAAAGGUGCAUCCAAUGGUGAGGUGAAGCUACAUUAUUGGCAGCUGGAGUGGCUGAUGGAACUGCUGAUGCUAAAACAGUGGCCUUCAAGGCUGCCGCAGGUGUUGGGGAGUUAGACACAAACAGAAUUAAAAGUACAAAACAUAUCUUGCUUUUUCCAGUACAAAACAUAUCUUGCCUUUUCUUGCAUGGACAACCCCGAAAGUGCUUAAAAGGUUCCAACAUUUAAAACCAAGCAUCAAAAACUGAGAAUGAGAAGGGUACAUUCUAAUAGAAGCUGCAUCGAGGAACAACUAGAUGCUUGCUUUGUCCUUGCCGUGUUGAGAGAAAUGUAUAUAGAUCGUCUUUGUCCAAAUAGUAUUUACAGUGCUUCUGACUUUCUUAUAUAUUUGUAUGAACUAUUUCAUCUGGAAAUGGGAGAAAUUUAAAUGCUCAUAACUAAGUCGAUCUCAAA